CACUUUCUUCACUAUCAAAUUUCAAAGGUUGAAACUCAUUCAGUUUAUUCAAAUUUUUUUUUAUUUCAGCCCAAUCAUUUUGAUCAAAAAAAUUUGAAACUUCUGAAUUUGUUAAUAAAUUAUUUAAAAGAUCCAGAAAACCCGGGACGCCAGCUAUUGAUUCGUUUAUUGCUAAACAAGCUUUGCAAUUAGUAGUCCCUGCUAAUAUCAGGAUUGACUUCAGGUUAUCUUCGAAGUCUUCAAUAGAAUAAGUCUGAUUUUUUUGCAAUUCAAAAAGACUAAAAGAAUUUAACCAGCACACGAACUCGACAACUGCUUUCUGUCCUAGACCAACGGAACCUUGGAGCAAAGCAUGCAUUCCCGAAUUGUUAAGAAUACGAUGAAAACGAAGAAUGUGUGUAAUUGUUUCAUCAACGAAGACUAGAGUAUUGUUCGGAUGCGAAGAAUAAAAUUUUUUAUAUAACGAUUCCAACUUCGGCCUCAAACUAGCGAAGUCUAGGAAUUCCAAACCAUUUUUUAAUAUAUCAGUAAAAAUGAUCUGUUUUUCGAAAAUCACGGAUACUUCAAACUCUCCAAAAUCUGUCACAAUAACUUUUUGCAAUUCGGUCAUGCCCCAUGAACAUUCCUUUUGUGAAACGAGACGAUCUAAUAAAACACGACACGCUUCGUGAUACCAAACUUUUAUUAAACUCAAGUUAUUGGUUUCUGCAUAUGACUCCGCAUAGUUUUUAAAAGAAAUUAGCCAACGCGUUAAGUCCCUGGGGGUAUAAACAUAACCUUGAGUACUAGAUUUGAAGUUUUCUCUCAAAACUUGAUAAAAUUUUACACUUGCCUUAACAAUAUUCAAAAUAAUCGUUUUAUAUUGAUUAAUCAAAGCGGAUUUCUCAAGAAGAGCAUUAUAAAUCGUCACUAGUGAAUAACUUUCAGGGUAGUCAACAAAUAUAAGGACAGUUCGUCGCAAAAACCUUUCUGGAAAAUCGUUUCUUCCGAUAUCUGUUGAGGGAUUACAGGCACCACAUACAAAUAUGUUUUUUAUGGUAACCCACUCUUUAUGUAGUGGAUGCCAAAAGCCUUGAUGCUCAAGCAUAUGACGAAGAAAGCAUAUCACAUCUUCUGCUAAACAAUUUCUUGAUCUGGGAAGAUUUAUUUCAUCACAAAAAAGAACCAAUACCUUCUCAUGAUUUUUUGGGCACAUUAUGGUCAUUCCGGUAGAACGAUAAUAAACGGUACUUUGUUCUAAAAAGGAUACGACAGAUUUUGAGGAUGUUGAAAUAGAAAAGUUCAAAGCAAUAACUUCGACAUCUUGGCGAGACCGCAAUGUUCCUAGCAUAAGCAUGCUUUUUCCAGAGCCGGGUGGUCCGCAAAAUAUCACGCAACGAUUUUUAGUCAAAGAAAAGUUAAGAAAUUCCGCAUAGCGAACUGUAUCUAGGGUAGGAAUUACUGUGUUUCCAGCAUACUUGAGUGCAGAAGACUUCAAGGUUUUGCCAGCAAUUGGAUACCAACUUUGUGUUUCUAAUGAGACGUCAAAAUCUAAAAUUGAAACGUGCUCAAAGUCCUUAAUUUCAGGUAAAUCAACACUUGCGUUUUGCAUUAGCCAGUGUGUGAAACGUUCACGUGAUUUGGCAUCUGUAUCUCCAGUACAACACCAAGCAAGUAUGUAAC